rnacentral:rRNA from 1 species
AGAGUUUGAUCAUGGCUCAGAGCGAACGCUGGCGGCAGGCUUAACACAUGCAAGUCGAGCGGGCGUAGCAAUACGUCAGCGGCAGACGGGUGAGUAACGCGUGGGAACGUACCUUUUGGUUCGGAACAACCCAGGGAAACUUGGGCUAAUACCGGAUAAGCCCUUACGGGGAAAGAUUUAUCGCCGAAAGAUCGGCCCGCGUCUGAUUAGCUAGUUGGUGAGGUAACGGCUCACCAAGGCGACGAUCAGUAGCUGGUCUGAGAGGAUGAUCAGCCACAUUGGGACUGAGACACGGCCCAAACUCCUACGGGAGGCAGCAGUGGGGAAUAUUGGACAAUGGGCGCAAGCCUGAUCCAGCCAUGCCGCGUGAGUGAUGAAGGCCCUAGGGUUGUAAAGCUCUUUUGUGCGGGAAGAUAAUGACGGUACCGCAAGAAUAAGCCCCGGCUAACUUCGUGCCAGCAGCCGCGGUAAUACGAAGGGGGCUAGCGUUGCUCGGAAUCACUGGGCGUAAAGGGUGCGUAGGCGGGUCUUUAAGUCAGGGGUGAAAUCCUGGAGCUCAACUCCAGAACUGCCUUUGAUACUGAAGAUCUUGAGUUCGGGAGAGGUGAGUGGAACUGCGAGUGUAGAGGUGAAAUUCGUAGAUAUUCGCAAGAACACCAGUGGCGAAGGCGGCUCACUGGCCCGAUACUGACGCUGAGGCACGAAAGCGUGGGGAGCAAACAGGAUUAGAUACCCUAGUAGUCC